rnacentral:SRP_RNA from 1 species
GGCGGGUCUCCCCGCAUUGCAGCAUGGGAAUCUGGUCAGGUCCGGAAGGAAGCAGCCAUAACCAUUCACUGUGAGUGCCGGGGGUCAGGCUCGCCGCC